rnacentral:rRNA from 1 species
CAGUCGAGCGGCAGCACGGGAAGCUUGCUUCCUGGUGGCGAGCGGCGGACGGGUGAGUAAUGCAUAGGAAUCUGCCCGGUAGUGGGGGAUAACCUGGGGAAACCCAGGCUAAUACCGCAUACGUCCUACGGGAGAAAGCAGGGGCUCUUCGGACCUUGCGCUAUCGGAUGAGCCUAUGUCGGAUUAGCUGGUUGGUGAGGUAAUGGCUCACCAAGGCGACGAUCCGUAGCUGGUCUGAGAGGAUGAUCAGCCACAUCGGGACUGAGACACGGCCCGAACUCCUACGGGAGGCAGCAGUGGGGAAUAUUGGACAAUGGGCGCAAGCCUGAUCCAGCCAUGCCGCGUGUGUGAAGAAGGCCCUCGGGUUGUAAAGCACUUUCAGUGGGGAAGAACGCCUUCCGGUUAAUACCCGGGAGGAAGGACAUCACCCACAGAAGAAGCACCGGCUAACUCCGUGCCAGCAGCCGCGGUAAUACGGAGGGUGCGAGCGUUAAUCGGAAUUACUGGGCGUAAAGCGCGCGUAGGUGGCUUGAUAAGCCGGUUGUGAAAGCCCCGGGCUCAACCUGGGAACGGCAUCCGGAACUGUCAGGCUAGAGUGCAGGAGAGGAAGGUAGAAUUCCCGGUGUAGCGGUGAAAUGCGUAGAGAUCGGGAGGAAUACCAGUGGCGAAGGCGGCCUUCUGGACUGACACUGACACUGAGGUGCGAAAGCGUGGGUAGCAAACAGGAUUAGAUACCCUGGUAGUCCACGCCGUAAACGAUGUCGACUAGCCGUUGGGUCCUUCGCGGACUUUGUGGCGCAGUUAACGCGAUAAGUCGACCGCCUGGGGAGUACGGCCGCAAGGUUAAAACUCAAAUGAAUUGACGGGGGCCCGCACAAGCGGUGGAGCAUGUGGUUUAAUUCGAUGCAACGCGAAGAACCUUACCUACCCUUGACAUCCUGCGAAUCCUUCAGAGAUGAAGGAGUGCCUUCGGGAACCCAGAGACAGGUGCUGCAUGGCUGUCGUCAGCUCGUGUUGUGAAAUGUUGGGGU